rnacentral:rRNA from 1 species
GACGAACGCUGGCGGCGUGCCUAAUACAUGCAAGUUGAGCGCUGAAGGUUGGUACUUGUACCAACUGGAUGAGCAGCGAACGGGUGAGUAACGCGUGGGGAAUCUGCCUUUGAGCGGGGGACAACAUUUGGAAACGAAUGCUAAUACCGCAUAAAAACUUUAAACACAAGUUUUAAGUUUGAAAGAUGCAAUUGCAUCACUCAAAGAUGAUCCCGCGUUGUAUUAGCUAGUUGGUGAGGUAAAGGCUCACCAAGGCGAUGAUACAUAGCCGACCUGCGAGGGUGAUCGGCCCCAUUGGGAACGAGAAACGGCCCAAACCCCUACGGGGGGCAGCAGUAGGGGAUCUUCGGCAAUGGACGAAAGUCUGACCGAGCAACGGCGCGGGAGUGAAGAAGGUUUUCGGAUCGUAAAACUCUGUUGGUAGAGAAGAAAGUUGGUGAGAGUGGAAAGCUCAUCAAGUGACGGUAACUACACAGAAAGGGACGGCUAACUACGUG